GAGAGAUCCUGUGAUCUCCCUGCCGGCCUCGGCCCACAGCCACCGCGGCCCACCGGGCAUUUGCCCGGUGUGCCCGAUGGCCAGUCCGGGCCUGCUUCUGACUUGAGUAUAUACUGUGCAGAAUGGCUGCAAGAAAGCAUAAUUUUGGGGACAUGGCAGACGAACGUGGAGAUGGAGUGGAUGCUAAUAUGAUACUGCUGUCUUGAGAGAAGGCCCGAAAAAGAAGACUGAAGUCCAGUUAACUAACUCUUAAAGGACCACUAUAGUGCCAGGAAAACAUACUUGUUUUCCUGGCACUAUAGUGCCCUGAGGGUGCCCCCACACUCAGGGACCC